rnacentral:tRNA from 1 species
CGGUCGACAUGCACACCUCCGGACUUUUAAUCCGUAGGUUGUGGGUUCGAGUCCCACGCGACCCACCA